rnacentral:lncRNA from 1 species
CACUUGUCACAGAUCCAUGGAAGGUGCCCGCAGGUUUUUCAGAGCCUGAGAAAGCAGGAGGGAGGCUGGGUCAGUCUCACAGGAGGAAGGAGCCCUGCACCGUGGGAGGGCUUUGCAUUCCCAGGCGGACAGAAAGUUCUCUGCAGGUGGGAACAGAGCGACCCAGCCCCUGGCUGGAGCUGGGCACAGACCAGGGGCUGGGUACAUUUUUCCAAGUGAGUGUGAAUUGAUGGUGUCUCCUGAUGGGUGGAGGAGAGAGGACUGGCAGUGGGCCCUCUCAUAGCCACUUAGGAGCUAUGAAACCUGGAGCAAAUGACUUGACUUCUCCAAGGCUCAGUCUUGUCCUCUGUAAAAUGAGGAUGAUAACAUUUAGCCUCUCGGGCUUGUCAUGGGGAAGCUGCUACCAACACAGAUGAGGAAGGGCUUGCGGAUGCCGUACCUCCACCUCGUGCUACUGUUGAUGAUGCUGUGUUGGGAGAGAAGGAACCUUGGGAGGUCUCUACCCAGAUGAGACACGCUGAGGUCACCUACAUCUGGAAUCCCAGAAUCUCCUGUGACCACCUCUGGUCCCAACCAUCCCUGUGGCCUUCAAUGGAUCUUAAGAAUGUUGCACUUGACCCACAGAGUGAAAGGAACACUGAGCCAGGUUCGCACACCCCAAGGUCCCAGGGUUUUUUCUUUGCACCUGUUGCUCUUGCCACAAUCUCAGGGAAGAGCAGCUUUGGAAGGAAGGGGCCUUCUGUGCUUUCACAGCAUUUACUCCCCACUAAGGCCCCUCCUUUGUCCACAUCACCACCAGAAGCCAGAUCUAAAUCGUGAGCAGAUUUCACUUAUCUGGAGGCUUCCGGAGUAGGUGGAGGACGGCCGGCAGCUUUGUGGUCUGCUACUGACUCCAGCACUGCGUCCUGAACCCCACACAAGUGUAGAUGCUGUGAUUUAACUCAAUUGCUCCUUUGGUGGACAUUAUGAUUUCCAUUAUUUCUGUGAAGGACCCAAGGUUUGGAAAGACAGCAGGGCAAGUGGGACCCCCAACCCAGGACUUCCAUCUCAAAGUUCCUAGUGCUUUCCCAUUACAGUCAUUUGGCCCAUUCCUAUGAAAUCCCUGCAGAGCACUGGAUCCUGAGUUUGGCCCAAACACAGCCGCCCUGGCCAGCCCAGCCCUUUCCUGGCUAGGGAGGAUCUUGAAUGCAGGCCAAUGUGCUUGUUACCUACCCUCCAGAGAAACCAGAGGUUUUCUUAGGUGACUCACACAAUACAGAACUGAUAUCUGAUCCUAUUAAUUGGAACUCAACAACUAGGAAGGGAAUUAACACAUCCUACCCCAUGCAGAGUAUCCAGAGACAGCAGGGUCCUACGGAUCCUACAGGAGAGUUUUCUGAUAAGAAGCCUUAGGGAUAGCAAAUUCAAUUGCCUCAGGGUUCAAAGUUAGGAAGAACAGGUCAGGAAGGCACUGGGAUAAGUCCUUUCUCUUCAUGAUUGAACUGCAUCCUCUCAACAUUCCUGGGAAGUAGAAAUUACCUCUAGCUGCUUUAUUUAUCUUUAAGAUUUUGUUUAUUUGAGGGAUCCCUGGGUGGCUCAGUGGUUGAGCGUCUGCCUGUGGCUCAGGGCAUGAUCCUGGAGUCCUAGGAUCGAGUCCCACAUUGGGCUCCCUGCAUGGAGCCUGCUUCUCCCUCUGCCUGUGUCUCCGCCCCUCUCUCUCUCUCUCCCUCUCUGUGUCUCUCAUGAAUAAAUAAACUCUUAAAAAAAAAAAGAAUUUGUUUAUUUGAGAGAGCAAGAGUGUGAGAGAGAGCAAGAGCAUGAUCAGUCCAGGAGGUCAAAUGUGUAACGUCCUUAUCACAGCAGACAAUGUAGCUAGGCAUCAGGGACACACCGAUGAAGUGGCCAAAGGACCAGAUGGUAGUCCGAGUGAGUGGCCCAACUAUCCAGUGCCAGGGGAGGGUUGUGCUAGUCCUGGCUUGCAUACUUCUCUCUUGGAUUCUGGAAAAAUCCCCCACUGUGUCUCUCGGCAUUUCACAUUGCACAGACCCACCAGAGCCGCCUAUGCUGUAUUUGAUGCUGUCGUUCUCCUACUCAGCAACCUUCAGUUUUCCCACCUCACUUCCCAAAAAUCCCCACUCAGCAUCCUGUGUGUCAGAUCACCUGGAAUCAUUACACCCAUGUUCUCCUCUGCUCUAAGUGCCCAGCCCUGACUCCCACCAGGAGUCAUCUCAGCUUCCUCCCAAGACACCUCACCUGUGCCUUCUCUCUUCUUUCUUUCUUUCUUUCUUUCUUUCUUUCUUUCUUUCUUUCUUUCUUUCUUUCUUUCUUUCUUUCUUUCUUUCUUUCAAUAUUUUAUUUAUUUAUUCAUGAGAGAGAGAGACAGAGACACAGACAGAGGGAGAAGCAGGCUCCACGCAGGGAGCCCAACGUGGGACUCGAUCCCAGGUCUCUGGGAUCACACCCCGGGCCGAAGGCGGCGCUAAACCACUGAGCUACCCAGGCUGCCCACCUGUGCCUUUCUUAAGCCAUGCAUCACUCUGCCCUUCUUGCCUGUGAGCAACUUGAGAGUCAAGAUUGUGGAGUUUUUUUUGUUUGUGAGUGUGUCUGUUCCCAGGCACCCAGUGUGGGGCUCACGCUACACAGGUGCACUAGACAGGCUUUGCUUGGGUCCACUCGGUACCUGUUCCUCCUUAUUCUGCUAACAGCCUCAAGAUUUUUCUUUGAGGAACCACCCUCACUCACACAAAGUGCAUGUGGUUUGCAUGGGGCUGACUGCCCACUUCCUGGUUCUUAAGGAAUCAUGUGUCUCAAGCCUGGUUCAUCUAUAUAUUCCAUAAACUAUCCCCCGACCAAGUGAUAGGCUUAGGAAUGGACAUCUGGGGCACGUGGGUGGCUCAGUGGUUCAGCAUCUGCUUUCAGCACAGGUCAUGAUCCUGGGGUCCUGGGAUCGAGUCCUGCAUCAGGCUCCCUGCAUGGAACCUGCUUCUCUCUCUGCCUACGUCUUGGUCUCUCUCUCUGUGUCCCUCAUGAAUAAAUAAAUGAAAUCUUAAAAAAAAAAAUGGACAUC